rnacentral:rRNA from 1 species
ACGGCCCAGACUCCUACGGGAGGCAGCAGUGGGGAAUCUUGCGCAAUGGGCGAAAGCCUGACGCAGCGACGCCGCGUGAGCGAAGAAGGCUUCGGGUCGUAAAGCUCGAUAGUGUGGGAAGAAUAGAUGACGGUACCACACGAAAGCCCCGGCUAACUACGUGCCAGCAGCCGCGGUAAUGAGUAGG